rnacentral:rRNA from 1 species
GACGAACGCUGGCGGCGUGCUUAACACAUGCAAGUUGAACGGAAAGGCCCUGCUUUUGUGGGGUGCUCGAGUGGCGAACGGGUGAGUAACACGUGAGUAACCUGCCCUUGACUUUGGGAUAACUUCAGGAAACUGGGGCUAAUACCGGAUAGGAGCUCCUGCUGCAUGGGGGGGGUUGGAAAGUUUCGGCGGUUGGGGAUGGACUCGCGGCUUAUCAGCUUGUUGGUGGGGUAGUGGCUUACCAAGGCUUUGACGGGUAGCCGGCCUGAGAGGGUGACCGGCCACAUUGGGACUGAGAUACGGCCCAGACUCCUACGGGAGGCAGCAGUGGGGAAUAUUGCACAAUGGGCGGAAGCCUGAUGCAGCAACGCCGCGUGCGGGAUGACGGCCUUCGGGUUGUAAACCGCUUUCGCCUGUGACGAAGCGUGAGUGACGGUAAUGGGUAAAGAAGCACCGGCUAACUACGUG